rnacentral:rRNA from 1 species
CCUACGGGAGGCAGCAGUGAGGAAUAUUGGUCAAUGGACGAGAGUCUGAACCAGCCAAGUAGCGUGAAGGAUGACUGCCCUAUGGGUUGUAAACUUCUUUUAUAAAGGAAUAAAACGAGGCACGUGUGCCUUUUUGCAUGUACUUUAUGAAUAAGGAUCGGCUAACUCCGUGCCAGCAGCCGCGGUAAUACGGAGGAUCCGAGCGUUAUCCGGCUUUAUUGGGUUUAAAGGGAGCGUAGAUGGGUUGUUAAGUCAGUUGUGAAAGUUUGCGGCUCAACCGUAAAAUUGCAAUUGAUACUGGCAGUCUUGAGUACAGAUGAGGUAUGCGGAAGUCGUGGUGUAGCGGUGAAAUGCGUAGAGACCACGAAGAACCCCGAUUGCGAAGGCAGCUUACUAAACUGUGACUGACAUUGAUGCUCGAAAGUGUGGGGAGCAAACAGGAGUAGAGACCACAGUAGUC